GAUGAACGCUGGCGGCGUGCCUAACACAUGCAAGUCGAACGGAGAUUACGGACGGAAGUUUUCGGAUGGAAGACUGUAAUUCUUAGUGGCGGACGGGUGAGUAACGCGUGGGCAACCUGCCCUAUACAGGGGGAUAGCAGCUGGAAACGGCUGGUAAGACCGCAUAAGUCGGCGAGACCGCAUGGUUUUGCCGGGAAAUGAGCAAUCAGGUAUAGGAUGGGCCCGCGUCCGAUUAGCCAGUUGGCAGGGUAAAAGCCUACCAAAGCAACGAUCGGUAGCCGGACUGAGAGGUCGGACGGCCACAUUGGGACUGAGACACGGCACAAAAUCCUACGGGAGGCAGCAGUGGGGGAUAUUGCAAAAUGGAGGGAACUCUGAUGCAGCGACGACGCGUGAGUGAAGAAGUAUUUCGGUAUGUAAAGCUCUAUCAGCAGGGAAGAUGAUGACGGUACCUGACUAAGAAGCCCCGGCUAACUACGUG
rnacentral:rRNA from 1 species